rnacentral:rRNA from 1 species
UUGAAAGGGAAACGAUUGAAGUCGUGGCCCGCCGAGAAACCACUUUUCCAGUGCGAAUUUGUGGGCGUCCCUGAGCUCUUAAAGGCCUCCCUCUUUCCAAUUAGUGCUUUUUGGGUGUCCUUUUUCGUAUGGUACCCCACCGUCACUUUCGCUCACCAUAAAAUGAUCGGAGGAAUGUACCUUCGAUCUCGUAUCGAAGUGUUAUAGCCUUUGGUAGAUGUCGCCAUCGAAACUGAGGAUUGCCACGAAUCCCCUUUGGCCUACCCGUCGGACUCCGGAAGUUCCAGGCGCCCGAACCUUGCUUAUGAUCAUAAGACGACGCUCCAAAGCUUAGCACCUGAUCCCAUCGUUAAGGAUGUUGACGUA